rnacentral:lncRNA from 1 species
AAUAAUAAAAGCAGCUUGGGAAAAUAUGAGCGAUUAGAUAAUUUCUUUAGAGAAUUUGAAUUGUCUUCUGGGUUGUAGUGGUGGGAGGGGUAUCCCGGAAUUGGAGAACUAACCAUCUUAGUCACCAGGAGAUUGUCUGUGAAGUUCUAUACAAGUACUGGGUUGUUUUAUCACUCAUCAUUGUUUUGCAUGUCCCUACUCCGCUACAAAAUGUAGGACAAACUGAUUUACCCAUGUUCGUCCGCCCGUCUGUCCAACGUGGUUUGUCUAGCUAACUCAUCCUUCAGUUUAACGCUAUAACUGUUAUAUCAUACACAAAUUACAACAGGCACGGACCCAGCUAUUUUAAAAAGGGGGUUCUAACCACUGUAAUACCAUGAAACGUUCACAGUUAUCGAAAAAA